rnacentral:siRNA from 1 species
AUAUGUGUACAAUGUCCUACA